GGGUCAGUAGGUUGGUCGUGCCACCGGUACGUACUGUUCUCACUGAUUCCUCCUUCCUGAAGAACCGUAAUGCCAUUAAUUUGGUGUUGCGGGGAAACAGGACUGUUACUUUGAAAAAAUUAGAGUGUUUAAAGCAAGCUAACGCUUGAAUACAUUAGCAUGGAAUAAUGAAAUAGGACGAUCGAUCCUAUUUUGUUGGUUUCUAGGAUUGACGUA
rnacentral:rRNA from 1 species